rnacentral:rRNA from 1 species
AAGUGUUAGUUCAGGCAACAAAACUGCGAACAGCUCAUUAAUACGCUCAGAACCUAUUGGGUGAAGUCCGAAAGGAUACAAAGGGAUAGCCGCAGCAAUUCUGGGGCUAAUACCAACUCGUAAGAGGCAACCACCGUAAGCGAAAGAAAGGUGGGUAGAAGACCGGGAGGCGAGCCCUAAGGUUGAGCGCCUUAUUAGCUAGUAGGUAGUGUCUUUGACUACCUGGGCGAUAAUGAGUAACGGGAAGUUUUCGUUUGACUUCCGGAGAAUGCGCCUGAGAGACAGCGGAUAUACCCACGGGUAGCAGCAGGCGCGAAACUUACCCACUCGCCAAGGGCGGAGGUGGUAAUGGCCAGUUCCAAUGUCUCGCAAGAGCUUAGGAAAGACUUACACAAAGCAAGUGUAGGAAAAGCAAGGAGAGGGCCAGCUCUGGUGCCAGCAGCUGCGGUAAUUCCAGCUCUCCAAGUUUGCUCCCACUGCUACACUUAAAACGCCCGUAGUCUGAAGAAGGAGCACGCAAGUGCGCUCACGGUGAAUAAAUCAGAACGCUUAGAGUAAGUGACCAACUGAUUGACUGAGCACCGCCUGAGGUUUUUACCCGUCAGGGUAAGCUCAAUGGGAGCCACCGAGGCCAGGUCUAUUCCGUGGCGAGCGGCGGAAUGUGUUGACCCACGGGAGAGAAGCGGAGGCGAAAGCGCCUGGCAAGGGGGUUUCCGUCGAUCAAGGGCGAGAGUCGCAGGAUCCAACCGGAUUAGACACCCGGGUAGUUGCGACCUUAAACGAUGCCGACAGCGCCGAAUCCGUUAGGGUUGGGUGACAGGAGAAAUCUCUAGUCUUUGGGCUGUGGGGGAACUACGACCGCAAGGCUGAAACUUGAAGGAAUUGACGGAAGGGCACACCAGGGGUGGAUACUGUGGCUCAAUCUGACUCAACGCGGAGAAACUUACCAGGACCAGAUAUUUCUAAUGACUGACCAGCUAACUACUGCUCAGGAUAAGAUUUUUGGUGGUGCAUGGCCGUUGGUGGUGCGUGGGUUGACCUGUCAGUUGUCGAUUCGGGUAACGAGCGAGACUACCGCCGAGUAGAGCAAGUCCUUGCUGCAGAGCAGAGACGAGCACUAACCGGGACUCCCUGCGUGGAAGCAGGAGGAAGAGGGUAGCAAUAACAGGUCCGUGAUGUCCUUUAGAUGCUCUGGGCCGCACGCGUUCUACACUGCUAAGAGGAAAGGGUGGCGAAGCCGAGAGGCGGAGCAACGCGAGGAGAUCCUAGCGUAGUCGGGAUUGACGUUUGACAUCAGCGUCAUGAACCAGGAAUCCCUUGUAAGCGUGUAUCAACAUUGCACGCUGAAUACGUCCCUGCCCUUUGUACACACCGCCCGUCGCUCCUACCGAUUGGGUGAGUCGGUGAACGCGCUGGAGUUUAACCGCGAAGGCGUGUGAACCUGCUGAUUUA